UACGAAGGUGGCAAGCGUUACUCGGAAUUACUAGGCGUAAAGGGCAGGUAGGUGGUUUGGUUAGUCUGUUGUGAAAGCUCCUUGCUUAACGGGGAGAGGUCAACAGAUACUGCCAAGCUUGAGUAUGGGAGAGGGUACUGGAAUUCCUGGUGUAGCGGUGAAAUGCGCAGAUAUCAGGAGGAACACCGGUGGCGAAGGCGGAUCUCUGAGCCUUACCUGACGCUCAGGUGCGAAAGCUAGGGGAGCGAACAGG
rnacentral:rRNA from 1 species